AUAACUAUUACUUUUUAAUCCGAGCAACUCAAAUAUUUUCGCUGACUACGAAAACAAUUUGCCGACAAAUCCGUUAUUUUGCCGACAAUUUGUUUUUAGGGGGUGUCACCCCCCCCCCCCAAGCUACGGCCCUGCUUAAAAGUUUAAAGCCGGUUUUCCACUUCGCCCGUAUCGUACCGAAACGUACUGGUGAGCAUGCGCAGAUUGAAAAGAGGUUUAUAAAACCGCGU